CGGCCUCCCAAAGUGCUAGGAUUACAGGCAUGAGACAUCGUGCCUCAGUUUUUUAUUCUGAUUGUUAUUCCUUUCUUCCUUAUAAUACAAAAUAAUACAAAAUAAUUCCAGAUAAUACAAAAGUCUUAUCUGGGUCUGUAAGAUCCAGUUCUUCACAGGGCCUUGUAGAAGAGCCAAGGAUGGCAGAACAAAGAAGGGGGCAGAUGAAGGGCAUUCUUAUAUUUUGAAACUUUGUAUCCUGCCACAAAAUUUCACAUAGAUGUUAUAUGGUUAUCUUAAAAAUAGACGUCUCAUAUAUGUUAAUCUUGUGCAAGUACAAAGUGCUUUCACAGGUCGGGAGUUUGAGGCCAACCUGGCCAACAUGGCAAAACCCUGUCUCUACUAAAAGUACAAAACUUAACUGGGUGUGGUGGCAGGUUCCUGUAAUCCCAGCUACUCUUGAGGCUGAGGCACAAGAAUCACUUGAACCUGGAAGGCGGAGGUUGCAGUGAGCUGAGAUUGCACCACUACCCUCCAGCCUGGGUGACAGAGUGAGAUUCUGUCUC
rnacentral:lncRNA from 1 species